rnacentral:lncRNA from 10 species
CAUGGUUGCCAGGCUCCUGAACGGGAGUGAGAUUUUUUUUAAACCUGAUGUCACAUCCAGGACAAACAAGAGAAGUCCUUUUAACCAAAUAGGACUCCUAUAUAACAAGAGUCUUUGAGAAGAGAGUCGUAUGACCUAAGAUGUCCCCUCCAACUACUUUGGGAGCUUGGAAUGUACCUACAGCAGAGAGACAUCUAUCUGCACAUGUGCACAAGGUGAAGAUUGAAUGCAGCAUUGUCUGUCUUAGCAAAAGCUAAACACAACCCAAAUAUCCAGGGAUAGGAAAAUAACUCAAUAAACGUCGGCUUAUCCUUAUUAUGGAAUCCCACACAGCAGUUGCAGAUCUUCAUGUGUUGACGUGGAAAUGUCUCCAAGGCAUACUGCCAAGUGAAUGGACAGCAUGUUAACGUCUGUGCGCCACUCGGCCUCACAAAUAAAAACGAUUCAGCAUAUCUAUCUGUCUAUAUCUCACUUAGGUAUCUGAAA